rnacentral:lncRNA from 1 species
CUCGAACCCUAGCUCCUGCCGCCGCCACCCCCUCGCCCGCAGCCAUGCCGCCCAAGCUCGACCCGUCGCAGGUGGUGGAGGUGUUCGUCCGCGUGACCGGCGGCGAGGUCGGAGCGGCCUCGUCCCUUGCCCCCAAGAUCGGUCCGCUCGGUCUCUCCCCCAAGAAGAUCGGAGAGGACAUCGCCAAGGAGACGGCCAAGGACUGGAAGGGCCUGCGCGUCACCGUCAAGCUCACCGUCCAGAACCGGCAGGCCAAGGUCUCCGUCGUGCCUUCCGCCGCGGCGCUCGUCAUCAAGGCCCUCAAGGAACCCGAGAGGGACCGCAAGAAGGUCAAGAACAUCAAGCACAGCGGCAACAUCAGCCUCGACGACGUCAUCGAGAUCGCCAGGACCAUGAGGUCCAGGUCCAUGGCCAAGGAGUUGGCCGGCACCGUCAAGGAGAUCCUCGGCACCUGCGUCAGCGUCGGGUGCACCGUAGACGGCAAGGACCCCAAGGACCUGCAGCAGGAGAUCGACGACGGCGAGGUCGAGAUCCCGUCAGCUUAAGAAGGU